GCCGAAAUGGCUCAGUUGGGAGAGCGUGAGAUUAUAGCUCGAAAGCCUGGUUCGAUCCCGGGUUUCAGCA
rnacentral:tRNA from 1 species